AAAAAAAACCCAACAUAUCAGGAUGGCUUUGUAAAGACAAUUGUCAAAAAAAAAGACUAGAGAAGAUCAAUAAAUACUAAUUUGAUUCUUUGAAAAUGCCAGUGAAAUUGCUUAGCCACUUAGAGUCUAUUAAUGAAAAUGAUGGAGUAAAAAUAUGGCAACUAACCAAAGAGUAGCACAGAUAUAUUUGUUGAAUCAUGAAUUUGUAGAUUGGGAACUGUGUGCUGGGCAUGUACUAAGCACCUUAUUUCAUUUAAUCUUCAGAAAAGACCUUUGAGAUGGGCAUAACUUUCAUCCUCAUUUUACAUGUGAAGAAGCUGAGGCUUCAAGAGAUUAGAGAGAGUUUUCUGGAAGGUGCCUGCUGUACCACAUGCAGUGAAUAGACACGUAUAGUGUUUCUGGAAGAUGAACCCAGGUAUCUACCUGCUGAUUUUCCUCAGGGAACCAAGAAACCUGUCAUCAUCGGAGACCCCAAACAUUGGAUUUCGAAAACAAUACAGACAAUUAGAGCAGAGAAAUGGAAGGAGAAAGAGGAAAUGGGGGAGAGAGGAAGAAAGGGAUGGGGGCAAAGUGUGGGACGGGUAGAUCCAGCUGCAUCUGAAGCAAGAACUACUGCUGGACCCUUGCUAAAAGUCCAUCACUUCCAUUGGCAAUCUCAAGUAUGGCCAGAGCCUCAUUAUCAAAUAUAUGUGACCAUCCCAGACUGACAUCUCCAGACCAGACCCUCCUGUGAGCUACAGACUUGCUGUUCCAAAUGCUGACUUAUCCUCUCCACUAGGAUGUCUCCAAGAUACACAUGGAGUUCUCUUUUUGGAAGUUCACAUGCUUCUAAGGCAUUGACACUAUCCUGGACUCCAGGAAGAAACAUGUGCCUCAGGUCUGUCCAAAUAUAACAUUCCUUUGGCCCCAGUGUUUGGAUUAGGGAUGGCACAUGGCCCUGUUAGAGCCAACAAGAAACAAUGUAAGGAAACUAUACAAGGUGAACUGUAAGGAAAUUUUCCUUUUCUUCUUCUUCUCUUCCUCCUCUUCCUUCUCAAAGAAAAUGCUCUUGACUAGGUCCAAGAAUGACAGUGAGCUUUUGGUUUAACUAGAGCGUCUAUAAAGCUGUUAUUUCAGGCUGCUUUUCUUCCAAUAGUUGUAAAUUAUGCUUUGGACAUUUAUUUUUGGUAGUGACCUUGAAAGCCUUUUGAUUCUCUGUACAACAGGUAAUUAAAGGCAAGCAAAAGAAGAUGCUUUAAGAUUAAAAAAAAAAAUAAAACUUGUAGUAGUAUUUACUCUUGAAACUUUCAUUUUUAAAAGUCUUAGAUGUUAACCUAGAUGUAAACUAGAUGUUAACCAGGGUUUUAUUGACCUAUAAGAUUUCAAUAAGACUGCUAGAAACUUCAUUUCUUACUCUACUAACAGUAUGACCAUCUCUGCAAGAUUUUCUUGGUUCCCAAGGGGCUUACCUUCUCAAAAUCACUGCUACCUUUAAGAUUCUUCAUUCAUUCAUUUGCUCAUCUAUUCCUUCAACCAACAAGUAUUUAUUGAACACUACAUGCCAGACACUAUUUUAGGUCCUUGAGAUGAGUGAAAUAACCUCUGAUGAAUAAGGUCAGUUUGGGGGCUGUCUGUCCAUUCUGCCUCAGUCUGCUUCAUGCCACAGGACCCAGAGGCAAGAAUUUAGCCUUUCUCCUCACUUUUCACCAAACCACUUAUUUAAGGGAUUUUCAUGUCUAGGUUUUUCUGAACUUUUGGAUAAACGGAGAGUUUUACACUGAAGUAACACAUAUAAAUUAAAAUUCACUGUAAGGAAUUCCCGUUUUUAGAAGUCCUGUAGCUAUUUCCCUAAGUUGAGCUCCAGGCUUCCCGGCUGUGUUUGGAGCCCUCUUUGCCCCUCAUUCUAUCUUCUUUGUUCUCUCCCUUUUCUCACUUUUGAUCCUCUGUAUAACAGGAAAUUAAAAGCAAGAAAAGAGGCUAUUUUAUUUUUAUUUUUGUUUAGGGAUUUAUUUUCAGUGCAGAGAAUUUUAGUUAUUUCUUCUGUUGUCUUUGCUUUCGCCAACCUUUACCCACUCACACUUUCCCCUAACUCACUUUCUUGUCAGUGCAUUUUCCUAUGCAAAAUUGGUUCCCGCCACAGAAACAAACCUGGUGCUGUCUUUUAAAGAAAUAAUUUUCACACUGCUCUGAGUAUUUCUUUCCUAGAAGUGAGAGGUGCUGUGAUACAUUGAUGACUAACAUCCGACAAACUGGUUGGACUAGUGGUGAAAGCAGUUAAGAUUAUUCGCUGUGCAGCCACAUAUAUAAUCUGGAAAUCUUUAUUUACCAGUGGACUAGGAAUACCUCGUGACAGUAACGCAGUCCAAGAAGGCUAUUAUUUCCAGAUAAAUUUUUUUCAAUCUACAUUUUUUAAUUUAAACACAAAAAUGGGCUCUUUUCAAUCUGUUUUCUGUUUCUUAGCAUGGCGGUUCCAUCCAGACCACAGUUGAUCUUAGUAUUAGAAUCAUUAUUCUGUAAAAAGGCUAGGCUAUAAAUCAUAACUUUUUAUGUGAGGAAAAGAACAGGGAGAAUAGUGAGAUUGAGAAAUGUAUAUUUUGGGAAAAGUCAUCCUGAAAUCUUUGCUCAUUUUUCUUCUUUUAUUUUUUCUUGAUUUAGAUUUGCAAAGAUUCUUUAAUUUGUAGGGGGUACAAUUAUGGAAUCAAUCUCUUUGAAAGUUAUGAAAACACAAUCUUUUCAAUUUCAAGUUAGAAGUGUAAGGCACAGUUUAUCAUACUAUUCUUGUUAACCCUAAACAAACAAACAAAAAACUCUUUUUUCCUCAAUUAAUUUAUUGAGAUCAUAAUGGUUUAUAACAUUGUAUAAUUUCAGGUGUUCAUUAUUAUUUACCAAUUUUUGUAUAAACUUUUAAAGAUAUAGAUUCUAAUGAAUUUGGUUUCCCUAUCACAUGAACCAUAUGUUUUUGAUAUUACAUUGCUUACCACUUCUGUUGGCAAUAUUCUGCUGUUGAAGUUGGCAGAGACAGAAUCAGAGAACAAUAUAAAUUUUUUUUAAAAAUCUGAAAACCUUGAAAAAGAGUUGCCUUUGACAAAAUACAAGUUCUAGUAAUUAAGUCACUCCUUUUCCUUCCCCUCCUUUCUCUUCCUUUCCCAUCCCGUUUUCCCCUGUUUCCCCCUCUCCUUUCUCUUCUCAUCUAAGUUGGAGAACUUGCAAAUAUCAAGCAAAACGAAAUGGCUGUGUAGGAUCAUAGCAUGUGUUCAGGCAGACAGAGAGAUUAUUAUCUCUUUCUUUCCCCAAAUAGGGAUCCAUCAAUUUUCUUCUCUUAGAAGUACUUAGAGAAUGUAGAUCUGACUUAAAAAUUACUCUAAUUAUGUUUUAUCAGUCUACAUUUUCUCUAAAAGGCUUUGCAGUUUGACCUGUCCAUUUGUUCUGAACUGCUCAAAGAAAACAGAAAUAUGAGUAGAGAAAUAUGGAAUCCAGUUACAAUUAACUUUAAAGUUUGAUGUUAAUCGUGCUGUUUAUGCUACUCAGGAAACAUUUUAUUUAUCUAUCAAAUAUAUAUAUUGUAUCAGCUGCUGUCUAAGAUUUCUUCUGGCUUUUAAGUUUUAAGAGUCCAUGAUACUAAGUAUCACUUUGUUUUGUAUUAAAGAAUGACAUUAUCUAAUGUAAAAUUAUCACUCACCAUAAUUGGUGCAGUCCAUGGCUAUCUCAAUACCACCUGGUAAUAAAAUUUACUGCUUCUAUUACACUUCAAUUCUUCAAACAAACAAAAUUUUAAAACCAGUAUAGUGGACAUUUGAUGAUAUCUUGUUUGAUAACCCUCUUCUAAAUCUCUUUUCCAAACACUUGCUAGUUUCUAUUUGGGUAUCUUGUGGUGGAGCCAAAAACCUAGGCUAAACCAAUCAGAGCAAUUCAUUUCCUUGGUUAUGUACUUUGGUUCAGGGGUUGCCAUCCCAUUCUUAUGUCAUCUAAUCUGGCCCAAUCAAGGUGAAAUUCAGGGUUUCGCUAAGAAUUCUGGAGUAAAGAUGAUCUCCUUUCCUGCUAGAUGUGAAUUAGAAAGCACAUAUCCCAAGGUAUUAGCAGCCAUCUUGGGAUCACAAAAUAAGUCAGUUUUAGGAAUAUAGAAACAUCUUGGAAGGCAGAGAGAAAUAUGGAACACGCACGCACACAUACACACAACUUUUGUGUCAAAAUUGAGUCUAAACUUUUUAGAUAGGUGAGCUAAUAAAGUCCCUUUAUCUUGUAAGCCAGAUUGAGUCAGGCUUUCCUUUAUUGGUGACCAAAGCCAAUGCUUAGCUUUCUGAGUGUGCUAGAGAAAGGAAGUUCAUGAGAUUAAUCAUAAUUAUAGGGUGAUCAAAGCAACUUUAUGAUGAAACAAAACUAUAAGAGAUCCCCAAAACACCAUGAAGAGUCCUCAGCUUGUUAAGCAAAAUGGUGAUAUAAUGGAAAAAGGAUGGGCUUUGGAGUAAGGUGAACUUUAGUUUAAAUCCUGACUCAUUUACUUAGUAUAAGUAUUAGCUAACAUCUAUUGACCAGUUGCUGUGUGCUGAGUGCUUCACAUUCAUUAUCACAUGUAAUCCUUUUAAUGACCCUGUUACUGAUACUAUUUUUAUCUCUAUUUUACAAGUGAGAAAACUAAGGGUUGGAGAAGCUAAGUACAUAGUCAUUAUGUGGCUUAGCUAGGUUUCAACCCAGAUGUGCACUAUCCAGUGUCUUCAUUUUUACUUGCUCUAUCUUUGAAAAAGGGUGGUCCACAGGUGUAUUUUAUUUAGCCUGUGUAUUAUAUUUUUAAAAUAUUUGAGCCAGCAUUUAAAAAUUGGAGAAUUUGAUGUAAAGAUCUAGACUUGCAUCUUUCCUUGGAAAAUGAGGUCUGGCCACUCUGUGUCUGCAUUCCCAGGAGAACUAUUGGCUGGAGGGUUACUAUGUCUGCUCCAUUUAGUCAAGACAUGCCGUCCACAGUUAACCAUAGUUUCUAUCCUUCCAUAUUGCCCUGACUCCAAAGCUGUGUCAGUAACCAGUGAUCUUUUCUUUCACGUUAUUGCUUUUCUCAUAAUAGAGAAAUAUUUAUCUGUCCCUAUGAAGAUUAAGGAUGAUCUACAGGGUGGGUAUUUUCAGAGAAAAGGAGUGUCCUCUUUUUUUUCUUUCAGAUUUAUUGAGA